rnacentral:misc_RNA from 1 species
UUUUCUGUUUUCGUACGGUCAGAAGAGUUGCAUGGUGAUUUGACAACUAUUGAACAAAUACACGAUGGGUUUAUUAACUAUCUUGAAAAAAAUGAAACAGAAGGAAAAGGAAGUUAGAUUAUUGAUGCUAGGAUUGGAUAAUGCAGGAAAAACCACAAUUUUGAAGAAGUUUAAUGGUGAAGACAUUGAUACAAUUUCACCAACCCUAGGCUUUAACAUUAAAACCUUAGAACAUAGGGGGUUCAAGUUAAAUAUUUGGGAUGUAGGUGGCCAGAAGUCACUAAGGUCUUACUGGAGAAAUUAUUUUGAGAGCACAGAUGGCUUGAUAUGGGUAGUAGACUGUGCAGACAGAAUGAGGCUCCAGGACUGUAAGCAUGAACUCCAGAAUCUGCUGGUGGAGGAGGUAAUUCUUUAUCAAAAUACCAGUAUCAUGUAUCACUGACUGUACCAAUAACUUUAAGGACACAUUGUCACAAGUUAAUGAGGCUCUUCAGAUAUUAUCAGAUACUGUUAGCGUAGUACAUGUAUAUUUAACGUGUACAAUAUAUGGCAGAAAUUGAUUUUUAAACAUGUUAGCAUUGACUUGAAUCAGCUUUUUUUUAAAUGUAUCUAUUAUUAUGCGUAUACAUGUAUGUAUGGCAUUUAGCCAUGUACAUGUACCAUAUUUAGAAAAAACUUCUUUCCUCAAAAACUGCUAAAUAGAAUGCACAGCCAAAUGUAAUAUGUUUACAGUAGUCCUACAAUAUUGGUCAAAAGUUAUUGAAUGAUGCCCCAAAAAGUCCUUGAAAAGUCACCUUGUGGGUUAUUAAUUUGAGAGACAAUCUUUUCUCUUAGACUUACAAGAAUUUUAUUUGCUUUAAUUUAAUUUUGGAGCUAAAUUGUCAUUCUCUGGACAACAACAUAUUAACAUCCACAAAUUUGUAUCUUUUUGUUGGACUGUUAAAACUAAUGGUCCGCUGUAUUGGUUCUUGUUUCAUUUUAGAGAUUAGCAGGAGCUACGUUGCUGGUGUUUGCAAACAAACAAGAUUUACCAGGGGCAUUGCCUGCAGAAAAAAUCAGAGAGCUUCUGGAUUUGGAUAGUAUCAAGACUCACCACUGGCUAAUCCUGGGUUGCAGUGCAGUGACUGGGGAUAAUCUUCUGAAGGGGAUUGACUGGGUUAUUGAUGAUAUAGCCUCACGAAUAUUUACCAUGGAUUAGAACAUAUCCACCAAUCCAAUGUCAAGUGAUGGAAAUCCUUUAAACGCUUAGACGUCAGCUUCUUGGCUAUGCUUACAGUACUUUCAAUAUACAUGUAUAUGAAGAAGCAGGAAUCUCCAGCUCCCGUAGAUAGACAAUUUGAUCAAAGAACAGAGUGAUAUUCUUUGAUCAUUCUAUAUACAAGAACAUUUACACAAAUUAGAAAAAAGUUUUCUUAGAUUUGCAUCAAUGUUUUGCAACAUCAGCAAUAGCAAUGUGUUGAUUUAAAAGUCAGAAAUCUGUCCUUGUACCAGAAUUUCUGCUAUAUUCUGUGUAUCCUUAAUAAAAUGUUUUAAAAACAUU